UCAACUUGAGGGCCAUUAAGGGGCAAAGCCGUCUAGCCAGUGAAGAGCCAAGAAAUGAAGAGACGGUUUGAGAAGACGUAGGCGGUGGGGGAACGGAAAGAGGAAUCGCGAAACUAAUAUUGUCCUUCCAAGGACACCGUAGGGCGGAUCUCGCAGCUACGGCGUUCUUUUGGGGCUUAGGAAGUGACCAGCGGGUAGGUGCCGAAGCUGAGGAGGGUAUAGGGGCCGGGAAGGAGCCACAGGAGUUGAGGGGACCGAGGAAUGAAGGUGGCAGAGGAACGUAGGGGACAACAGCCUGGAGGGAUGUAUGGAGAUUGAGAUGGACAGGAGGUGGCCAAGAGGUCACGGCCGUUGACUGAACGGAGUCUGAAAGGAGGCGGAGGGCAUGAGGGGCAAGAGCCUGGCGGGAGUCGCGGGAUGUAGGUCGGAAUGGAGUUGAGUCUUGCUGUUCCCAGGAGUCGCGUUUCUGUGCGCGUUUUGGGAGACAGUAGUGGGCGGGAGGCAUGGAAGUUCCAAGGGUUGGUGAAGAUGGUUGAGUUGCUGUUAUGUCCUUUCUCAGGAGACGAUUGCCUCGAGCUGGAGAGUUCCAUGGCUGAGAGUAGGCUCCGGGCCCCGGACCUAGGUGGGUAACAGGACAGAACUAGGGACGUGAGGUGAAAAUUGCCCCAGGGUCUCUUGGAGAAGACCGAAAAAUGUUCCCCCUGUU
rnacentral:lncRNA from 1 species